UGGUUAUGGUCAUGGUCAUGAUGGGAAUAGGAGAAGUGAAAGGAGAGACUCCAUGUGUAAUGAAAUGCAUAAAACGUUGUUUCGGCAUAAUCCCCACACCCCCUACAUGUCUCAACACUUGUCGGAAAGCUUGUGGUGUUCCUUCUUCCACUUCAUUUCCCGACCAAGCGCCCCGGAAUAAUUUCAUAACGAUCGAACAAUGAUGUUUCAGAAAUUAAAGCUGUUUUUAUCUUCUUUCUAUGUUUGGAAUGUUCUUACCCUACCUUGUAAUGUUCUAUCCAUUAAUAAAAAUAAAAUCCAAACUAUCAUCA